CCUGGACAUGGUGGCACACACCUGUAGUCCCAGUUACUUGGGAGGCUGGUGCGGGGAAGGGGGUGGGGGUCACUUGAGCUCAAGAGUUCUGGGCUGUAGUACACUAUGCCAACCUAUCAGGUGUCCACACUAAGUUUGGCAUCAAUAUGGUGACCUCCUGGGAGUGGGUUCCACCACGUUGCCUAAGCAGGGGUGAACUAGCCCAGGUCGGAAACAGAGCAGGUCAAACUUCCCAUGAUCUCAUUGCACCACUCUUCUCCAGCCUAGGCAACACAGUGAGAUCCCCAACUCU
ensembl:misc_RNA Metazoa_SRP Metazoan signal recognition particle RNA